CCCCCCCCCACACCCAUAUAAAAUAAGUAAAAUGGUAGCUCCUCAGAUGUAGGGUGAAUAUAAUGCAUCACCAUAUAGCCUAUGAGUAUGACACAUUGAAAGGAUACAUUUUAACUAUUAAGAAAUAAAAUUAAAUGUGCAAUAAUCAGAUAAUAUAAAUAAAGAAAUGAAUAUUUUAUAUCAAAUUGGGUUGAGAAUAAGAUUCUGGUUGAUUUAACGAACAAAAACAAUUAAGAUUCUUUUUGAAAAAUGUGCAUGGCUCUUAAAAGGGCCGUUUUAAACAGAUCUGUUGCAUAAAUUAUCUUCAGACUGUACGAAUUGUUAGGAUAACUCCGUUUUUUUCUUCAAGUGACCGUACUGGCAACUGCCCUGCACUACAGUCUACAUGUAUACAAUAAUAUAAUUAUUUCUCCUUUGACUUCAUCAUGUUCAUUAACUGUUACUGGUCUACUGUUCUUUUGAGAAAAGUAAAGUGAACGGCUUUCAUUUUCCACAUUGUUCUAUAAACUGUUUCGGUAUCUUAACUUUGUCCGUGUGAUGAAUUUUUCAUCAUUUUCAUGUCCUGAACUCGGCACUGGAACUCGGGUCAUAUAAGUUAAUCUAUAGAAACAUUUCACAUAUAAUCCGCUCCAAUCAAUUGUACGCUAAAUGUCAGUGUUUUUGGCAUAAUUUGAGCAGAAAAUUCGUGAAACUGUAGUCUAUAAUGUUGUUUUUCAACACACAUGUUUACAUUCAUGGAGGCUGCCAUUUUUUUCUACCAGACUAUAUAUAUAACCGCUGAUUUGAUUGGAUAACUCUAUAUCCGGGAUUUCCGAUCGGCCAAUCAGAUAGUCGUUAUCAUUAAUACACGGAAUGUGUUCAAAUUUGAAACUAAAAAUAUUGUACGAGUAUGUAUCCUGUCCAGCAUUGUCCAGCUGUGGUUACAUUAAUCAUGUUAAUAAUAAUUAAUACUCAACAACCUUCGAUAAAUAAAGAAAUAGACAUUAAAGGCAGAACAUUUAGGUAUGACAUUAGCUGUUGAACCAAGAAUUUACGAUGAGACGAUGUGCUGAUGUAGGGCAGACGUACAGCAGAUACAGGUUGUCCAUAUAUUAAAAGGGAUUGAUCAUGGUGAAGGUACAAAGCUGCAAAAAUGAUGACUGUGCAUCGAUCAAUAUCCACUCAAUAAUAUGAAAACACGAUGAAAACAAACGAACCAGCAGCAGAAAAGAAAUUUGAGUAUAAGAUUAUUGAAAGAUUAAUCGAUGAAGACUUAAUGGAACAGGAUUGGAAUGCAGAAACUUUGGACUUAAUUCAUGAAUAAUAUCAAUGGAUGAUGAAGAAAACUGACCAAACUGACAAAGUAUUUCGUAUGCAUGUAAACUGGACAUUUUUGUUUGGUUAAUGCACAAUAAACAAAUUUGUAAAAUUGAAAAUUAAAACCAUUUGUGAAAGAUUUCAAGAGGACCAAAAGUUACCAUGGACUUAUGAAUGAUUUAACCAGAAAAAUGAUUUACAUGUACAAUUAAGUAAAUACAUCUUUGACUAAAAAAUGAUAAUUUAUCAACGUUAAUAUUUUAAAGAGGUUGAUCUUUUCGUUUAAAAGGUCUUAAAUGUGGAUGAUGUAUAAACUGUUGUAAUUUCUUUAAUUGUUGACUUGCAUUAAAAUGGUUAUUGUCUUA